rnacentral:rRNA from 1 species
CCUACGGGGGCAGCAGUGAGGAAUAUUGGUUAAUGGACGCAAGUCUGAACCAGCCAUGCCGCGUGCCGGAAGACGGCCCUAUGAGUUGUAAACUGCUUUUUUACGAGGGUAAAUCCCGAUACGUGUAUCGGGUUGAAAGUAUCGUACGAAUAAGGAUCGGUUAACGCCGUGCCAGCAGCCGCGGUAAUACGGAGGAUUCAAGCGUUAUCCGGAUUGAUUGGGUUUAAAGGGUGCGUAGGCGGUUCGAUAAGUUAGAGGUGAAAUCCCGGGGGUCAACUCCGGCACUGCCUCUGAUACUGUCGGGCUAGAGUUUAGUUGCGGUAGGCGGAAUGUAUGGUGUAGCGGUGAAAUGCAUAGAGAUCAUACAGAACACCGAUUGCGAAGGCAGCAUACCGGCGCCCAACUGACGCUGAGGCACGAAAGCGUGGGGAUCGAACAGGAUUAGAUACCCUUGUAGUC